CCUACGGGAGGCAGCAGUGGGGAAUAUUGCACAAUGGGGGAAACCCUGAUGCAGCAACGCCGCGUGAGUGAUGAAGGUUUUAGGAUUGUAAACUCCUUUUAUCAGAGAAGAUAAUGACGGUAUCUCACUAAUAAGCCCCGGCUAACUCCGUGCCAGCAGCCGCGGUAAUACGGAGGGUGCAAGCGUUACGCGGAAUCACUGGGCGUAAAGAGUGCGCAGGCGGGAGUGUAAGUCAGACGUGAAAUCCUGUAGCUUAACUACAGAACUGCAUUGGAAACUAUGCGGCUAGAGUGUGGGAGAGGUAGGUGGAAUUCUUGGUGUAGGGGUAAAAUCCGUAGAUAUCAAGAGGAACACUCAUGGCGAAGGCGACCUACUGGAACAUGACUGACGCUGAUGCACGAAAGCGUGGGGAGCAAACAGGAUUAGAUACCCGAGUAGUC
rnacentral:rRNA from 1 species